AGAAACUAGUCCUGCGCUCAAACUCCCAUUACUCCUGGGCGGCAGCAAUGACCAUAGGAGUCAUGGGAGUUUGAGCGCAGGACUAGUUUCUUUGUAUU